rnacentral:rRNA from 1 species
UACGUAGGCACCAAGCGUUGUCCGGAUUUAUUGGGCGUAAAGAGCUCGUAGGCGGUUCGGUAAGUCGGGUGUGAAAACUCUGGGCUCAACCCAGAGCCGCCACCCGAUACUGCUAUGGCUAGAGUCCGGUAGGGGAGUGUGGAAUUCCGGUCGUGAGCGGUGAAAUGCGCAGAUAUCGGGAGGAACACCGAUGGCGAAGGCAGCACUCUGGGCCGGCACUGACGCUGAGGAGCGAAAGCGUGGGGAGCGAACAGG